rnacentral:rRNA from 1 species
CACGUAGGGGGCAAGCGUUGUCCGGAAUUAUUGGGCGUAAAGGGCUCGUAGGCGGUCCAUCGCGUCGGGUGUGAAAAGCUGGGGCUCAACCCCAGUCCUGCUUCCGAUACGGGUGGACUAGAGGUAUGCAGGGGAGAACGGAAUUCCUGGUGUAGCGGUGAAAUGCGCAGAUAUCUGGAGGAACACCGGUGGCGAAGGCGGCAUCCUGGGCCAAUUCUGACGCUGAGGAGCGAAAGCCAGGGGAGCAAACGGG